UCUCCUGUUGCUCAGUGGUAGAGCCUCUAACCAGUGUGUGGAAGGUCAUAGGUUCAACUCCUGCUGGAGGAA